rnacentral:rRNA from 1 species
CCUACGGGAGGCAGCAGUAGGGAAUUUUGGGCAAUGGGCGCAAGCCUGACGCAGCAACGCCGCGUGAACGAAGCACUCAUUCAGCUCGUAAGCCUCUUUCUGGUUGAAAGAAAAGAAGACGGUACCUCUUGAAUAAGCCACGGCUAACUACGGGCCAGCAGCCGCGGUACUACGUAGGUGGCAAGCGUUGUCCGGAUUUACUGGGUGUAAAGGGCGUGCAGCCGGGCUGACCAGUCAGAUGUGAAAUCCCGAGGCUCAACCGCGGAACUGCAUCUGAAACUGUCAGUCUUGAGUCCCGGAGAGGUCAGCGGAAUGUCGUGUGUAGCGGUGAAAGGCGUAGAUAUAAGGAAGAA